UAGCUGUUAAACACAUUUAUAGGUAAGAUUUGUAAAAUGUGAGAAUUUGUGAAUAUGUAGGCUAUAUUUUUUGUGAUGGGUUGAAAAACCACAGUUCAUGCCUUGAAGACAAUGCGUGGGCAUCUUUCUGACGCCCCUCUGCUGUCAUCUGAACCCCGUGUGGUUAGACCAAAGUCAAGAAAUGCACUGACAGCAGGAUGUUAGAGAUGAGGGUCUCAUGAAACAGACUCAACAUUUACUGCUGUGACACAAUGCAUCCAACACUGAUAUAAAAUCAUCACUCAAAUGAUGCAAAUUAUUUACACAAAUAAAAUGGAGCAUUCAUAAAUAUGUAUUAUGUGGCUGCACAUUGACAUACACAUUGUCCCCAUCCCUACAGAUCCUAAAUAGACAAAUACGUUAUGAUUUUUUUUUAAAAAACACAUCGGAAUUACAGUUACAUACAUGUUUUGUAAUUACCGUUCUAUUUUCGUUUAUUUCAUUAAUUUGUAAGAAAAUCUAAAAUCCCUGGCACAAAAAAAGCAGUUCACAACACAAAACUCUUUACACCGAACAUAUCUUUUAAUGAUUCAUUUAUUUAUUGAUUGAUUUAAAGGAGUACAUAGAUUUGAUGUAUUUAUAGAAUGACAUUUUAACAUGACAUUGCAGAUGUGGGUAUUUGAAGUGCAUGGUGGGGAAAUGUCACAGACUCUGUAAGCAAGUGAAGGUGUGGGCGUUGAGCACUGGCUGUUCUCCUCUCACCAUGCUGCUCUUUUCAUCUCACACCCGUGUGGUUAGAUCAAAAACAUGCAACUGCAUUCAGAAUUACAGCAGAUUUUCUUACACAGUAGAGUCAACCGGCAAGAAGAACACCUGCUCAGUCUGCAGUGACCUUUCUAAAUAUCUGUAGAUCUGUGUGCAACAAAGAAAAAAAAAACAGUGCAAUACAGAGCAACAGUGUCUUUGUGGAUGAUAUAUGAAGUAUAUAAACCUGAGGGAUCAAACCUAUAUCACUUAGGAGGCUUGUUUAUGUUAGCAAUAGCACACUAACACAAUUUCCUAUAGACUCUGAGAGUUCGUAAGCUCAGGUUAUGUCAUGACAAUCACAACAUGUAUGGAAUAAAUAAAAGUGACGCAUUGCCUGGCUAUGUAUUUCCAUGGUAAUGAAACUAUAAUGAAGUAACAGAGAAGUGCAUUAAGCAGUCAAUAUGGGAGGUAUGGAAUUCAUGCAUUAUGGCUCUUUGACCCCAUUUCCGGAAAGAUCAUUAAGCAUAAAUGCUUUUCUAUCUAUUCUGGACAACAUCCUUACCUGAAAGCAUCAUGAAACUAAUUAGCACCUUCAAGAGCCCCUGACCACUGGGCGACUGUAAUGCACAACCUAAACAGAGUGGAACUUUAAUCCACAGCAGGUGCAGGCCUAGCUUUUGCACAAGUGAUUUAUAUAGGCAAUUAAGGUCCACCCACUGGAGACAUGUAAGUUUUUACUUUCUUGAUUUGUUUCUCCUUGCAGGCCGCUUUCAGUCAAACUGCAUGGGAGGCGAUUCACUGAUUGCCUUUUUUAAGUUAAAAGUUGUACAUCAGAUAUUCUUCUAGACAUGGCUAUAUGUACAGAUUGUUUGAUACUGUUAUGUUCCUGUUUUCUAGCUUCGAACAUCUCCAGGACUCACACUCGUCUCAGUCGGUGGUUCUGUAGAGUUAAGAUGUAUAUUUGAGCAGACCCUAAGGUACUGCUAUACCUCUGCUGCAUGGAAAAAGAUGAAUCUACGGACUGGAAAACUCACGACAGUGAAUAGUAGCUAUGAGAAUAAUGUCCUUCAGCCUGAUGGUAAAACCUGUGUUUUGACUCUCAAACACGUAACCAAGACAGAUUCAGGCUUGUACUAUUGCAUGAGCAAAGUUAAUGACAUGGCUGUCAUCGGCAAUGGGAGCAGGGUGAUCGUAAAAGAUCAAUCUGAACCAGAACUCUCCAUCUUACACUCAGCACAUGAACCUGAUUCACCAUCAGUUCAGUAUCUUCUGCAGUGUCUCGUGACUGGACUUGUCCCGUCUCAGGUGCGUGUGUUCUGGAUGAUUGGACAGAAGGAGCGAGCUGGAUGGACCGAGUCUGGCUGGACAGACGACACUGAUUCAGCCACAGAAUUCACUCGAGCUCAUCUCUCAGUUUCUGAAGAGGAGUGGAAUGAAGCCGGUGAAAUUCAAUGUUUUGCUGAAUAUGAUGGCAAGAACAUCUCCAAAACUCUGAGCCGAAGCGGAGCUGAACCUUUAAUCAUCUCGUGGCUUGUGUACUCUGGCUGUGUGGCAGCGCUCCUGACCAUACUUCUAACUCUGAUUAUGUCUGUGGGAUUAUACAGAGAUAUGUUGAUGACCAAAAAAUCCAAACGGCUCAUGAGAAAAGAUGCCCACCGCAAAAUUUCAUAUGGUAAACAGAACACACUUCGAGAAGAGAGUCCAUCUGUUAUGGUAGGAGACAGAAAUGAAGAUGAUGAACAUUGAAGUGAAUCACAAAAAAAAAAAAUCAGUUUCUGCUGUUUCAGAAGAAAUAUUAUUUAAAUAAUAAACAGAUUUCAAAUAUCUAUCAUACAAUAUGAACAUGGAUUGAUGUAGCAAUAUUUAAUUUAUUUACAAAAACUACAUGAUAAAUGCAAUCUACCGGUAUGUUUAAGCCAAAUAAUCUGUGCAUAUAUAAUAUGGGUAUGUUACAGUACUUUUAUUGGUGAUAUUGGUAAAGGUUUUAGCAUUUGAUCAGUACCUAAACAGAACUACCUAAAAAAGUUGUCUAUACCAAUUUUUUUUUUUUUUUACAUUUAUUUAUUUACAAUUAUUUAAAAUGAUUUCCUAAAUCUUCUGAAGUUAUAUGAUAGUCCUGUGCGAGGAACAAAGUGAGACUGAAAAUCUUUGGGACUGUUCUCCUGUAUAUUUUAAUUGAAUGCAGACAACCAUGUUCAAAUGUGUAGAAUAGGAAAUUAAAGAUUUUCAGUAAUGACGGCUUAAACUUUGGUCUGGUCCUCACAGUUUUUGUCUUGGACAUUUUGUAUCACUUUAAUUAAUUGUGUUAAAUUUUGUCCUCUUUGGAGCUUGACAGAGGAGGUCAUGAAUGUUGUGAAAUAAUAAUAAUAAUAAUAAUAAUAAAAAUGUAGAUUCUUUAAAAGUGUUCCUUUUUAUUACAUGGCUCUCUGGAUCUCUUGAUUGUUGCAUUGAGCUGUCAAUAUUUGUCAUUAUUCAUAAUUCACUAUAUUUCUUAAUUGGCAAAUAAUAUAAAUAAUGGAGCAAACCAUUCCUUCAAGCAAACACACAACAGAUAAACAAAUCUUUAGAGUGUGAAAAAUUGCAAAUAUUUGAUCGGGGGAAAUAAUACUUUGCAAACUUUUAAUUAAGCAAAUCUAUUGGUAAUUUCAUAUACUUCAGCUUGCAUUUUAUAAUGUAAAUAUUUUGUCCUGUGUUUCUCGGGGAUCUUAUCGGUCAUGGACAGGAUGUUGGUCCAUCAAGAGAAUAAAGCGGGGAAGAGGAAAUGUUGGAGUAUGCUAAAACAUUUAAUUCCUGAAAUCAUAUAUAUUUUUAACUCAUAUAUCUUAAAAUAAUACGAUUGCCUGUUCUGGUUUUAUUAUGUCCAUGUUCAUGAAUAUUUCUUAGGAACUGUUUAAUUUAUUUGUUUGUUUUUAUAAUUAUCUUCUUUUGUUGUUUUUUUUUUUUAAUUGUCCUCCUGAAAAUUUGUUUAAUAAUGCUCCUCAUAAGCUACAUCAUAAAAGUAAAUGUUUCCUGAGCAGCAAAUCAGCUAGUACAAUUAUUUCUGAAAUCUCUGAAACAAUUUUAAUAUGAAAAUUUGGCAAUCGUUCAAAUAAAUUUUAAUUUAAAAGUGAUAAUAAAGAAAAAACUUAAUUUUUAAAUUACAAUAAUAUUUAGUAUUAUUGUUUUUACAUCACAUAAAUUCACUAAAUGGUAGCAUUGUUAACUAUCAUGAGAUCUCUUUUCCUACAUUUCUGAUAUGUGCAGGACUGAACAGCAAAGCUACAGUUCAACUUUUCUUCCCUGGUGGCCCAUCAAAUUAAAAUGAAUCUUAAUGUUACUUUUCAUUUUACUUUUUUUUUUUUUUUUUCCGAGAGGGUUAAAAACUCACAGUGAAUGAAACAGGAAAGUGUAUGGCCUCUUGCUGUAGUCUUCACACUCUCAUUUAACACCUUGUGGUUAGACAGAAGCGGCAUAACAGGAUGUUAGAAGAGACAAAGGUCUCAUGAAACAGAGAUGCAAAACUACUUUCACUGUCCAUUGUUGCAGCGACUCCACUGGCAUUACUUAAGCCUUGAUAUAAAACUGUCUGAAUUUUGCCUAAUAUUGUCAUCUAAUGUUCUCCAUCCCUACAGUAUGUCAAUAUCCACACUGAGAGUUAUGAAAUACUCAGAUGAUCAAUUAAACUAGUCUGCACAUCUUUAUUAACAAAGCAUUCAAAAUAAAACAUUAUAUAGGCUAAUGAAAAAUAGGUUAGUGUUGACAUAUUGACACAUAACGUUGAAUUAGAGCAGAAUUGUGAACAGCUAUUACAUUGACUAGUUUUCCUCUUUUGUAUUAUGCAGAUUUACAGAUCUUAGAGUCAGGAUAAAUGAAUGUGAACUCUGAAUUAAGAAAGUAACAUACUUUUAGUAUUUUUAAUUGUAUGUUGUGUAUUAAAGGUGGAUUUUUUUAAAUUACUUAAAUUAAGAGUUUUGUGUGUCUUGUUUUGACAUGCAGUUAUAAUAUAUUUACUAUCUUGACACAGAUGUUUCUGUCUGAGGUGCAGGUGGAGGAACAGUACUCUCAGUUUGAGAGUGAGGGUGUGGGUGUUGAGCAUUGGCCAUCUUACACCAUGCUGCUCUUUUCAUCUCACACCCGUGUGGUUAGAUCUGAACAAGUGACUGCAAACAAAUUGUACAAAGAUUUUCAGAAAGCAGAGAGUUAAACGGCAAGAAGAACAGCUUCUUAACCUGUAGCAGAAAACA